rnacentral:rRNA from 1 species
GUGAGGAAUCUUCCACAAUGGGCGAAAGCCUGAUGGAGCAACGCCGCGUGAAGGAUGAAGGUCUUCGGAUUGUAAACUUCUUUUAUGAGUGAAGAAUAUGACGGUAACUCAUGAAUAAGCACCGGCUAACUACGUGCCAGCAGCCGCGGUCAUACGUAGGGUGCAAGCAUUAUCCGGAGUGACUGGGCGUAAAGAGUUGCGUAGGCGGUUAUGUAAGCGAAUAGUGAAACCUGGUGGCUCAACCACACAGACUAUUAUUCGAACUGCAUAACUCGAGAAUGGUAGAGGUAACUGGAAUUUCUUGUGUAGGAGUGAAAUCCGUAGAUAUAAGAAGGAACACCAAUAGCGUAGGCAGGUUACUGGGCCAUUUCUGACGCUAAGGCACGAAAGCGUGGGGAGCGAACCGGAUUAGAAACCCCUGUAGUCC